rnacentral:rRNA from 1 species
UACGGAGGGUGCGAGCGUUGUCCGGAAUCACUGGGCGUAAAGGGCGCGUAGGCGGCGCGAGUAGUCAACGGUGAAAGCCCGGGGCUCAACCCCGGGUCGGCCGUCGAUACUCUCGUGCUUGAGCACUGUAGAGGCAGGUGGAAUUCCGGGUGUAGCGGUGGAAUGCGUAGAGAUCCGGAAGAACACCGGUGGCGAAGGCGGCCUGCUGGGCAGUAGCUGACACUGAGACGCGAAAGCGUGGGGAGCAAACAGG